ACGUGGCUCAAUGGUUAGAGCGUUUGACUUCUAAUCAACAGGUUGCGGGUUCGAGCUUCGUGUGGCGUA
rnacentral:tRNA from 1 species